rnacentral:rRNA from 1 species
GUAAUGACGCUGGGGACGCGAGCGGCGGAUGGGUGAGUAACACGUGGGGAACCUGCCCCAUAGUCUGGGAUACCACUUGGAAACAGGUGCUAAUACCGGAUAAGAAAGCAGAUCGCAUGAUCAGCUUAUAAAAGGCGGCGUAAGCUGUCGCUAUGGGAUGGCCCCGCGGUGCAUUAGCUAGUUGGUAAGGCAACGGCUUACCAAGGCAAUGAUGCAUAGCCGAGUUGAGAGACUGAACGGCCACAUUGGGACUGAGACACGGCCCAAACUCCUACGGGAGGCAGCAGUAGGGAAUCUUCCACAAUGGACGCAAGUCUGAUGGAGCAACGCGGCGUGAGUGAAGAAGGUUUUCGGAUCGUAAAGCUCUGUUGUUGGUGAAGAAGGAUAGAGGCAGUAACUGGCCUUUAUUUGACGGUAAUCAACCAGAAAGUCACGGCUAACUACGUGCCAGCAGCCGCGGUAAUACGUAGGUGGCAAGCGUUGUCCGGAUUUAUUGGGCGUAAAGCGAGCGCAGGCGGAAGAAUAAGUCUGAUGUGAAAGCCCUCGGCUUAACCGAGGAAUUGCAUCGGAAACUGUUUUUCUUGAGUGCAGAAGAGGAGAGUGGAACUCCAUGUGUAGCGGUGGAAUGCGUAGAUAUAUGGAAGAACACCAGUGGCGAAGGCGGCUCUCUGGUCUGCAACUGACGCUGAGGCUCGAAAGCAUGGGUAGCGAACAGGAUUAGAUACCCUGGUAGUCCAUGCCGUAAACGAUGAGUGCUAAGUGUUGGGAGGUUUCCGCCUCUCAGUGCUGCAGCUAACGCAUUAAGCACUCCGCCUGGGGAGUACGACCGCAAGGUUGAAACUCAAAGGAAUUGACGGGGGCCCGCACAAGCGGUGGAGCAUGUGGUUUAAUUCGAAGCAACGCGAAGA